UAGCUUUAAAACCCAAAGUUAAAUCAUCACUACAGUAGAAAAGCUAUGUAAUCCUUUAACUGACAGGCAGUGCUGUCAGUGUUUCCAUCAA